rnacentral:rRNA from 1 species
AGAGUUUGAUCAUGGCUCAGAUUGAACGCUGGCGGCAGGCCUAACACAUGCAAGUCGAACGGUAACAGGAAACAGCUUGCUGUUUCGCUGACGAGUGGCGGACGGGUGAGUAAUGUCUGGGAAACUGCCCGAUGGAGGGGGAUAACUACUGGAAACGGUAGCUAAUACCGCAUAACGUCGCAAGACCAAAGAGGGGGACCUUAGGGCCUCUUGCCAUCGGAUGUGCCCAGAUGGGAUUAGCUAGUAGGUGGGGUAAUGGCUCACCUAGGCGACGAUCCCUAGCUGGUCUGAGAGGAUGACCAGCCACACUGGAACUGAGACACGGUCCAGACUCCUACGGGAGGCAGCAGUGGGGAAUAUUGCACAAUGGGCGCAAGCCUGAUGCAGCCAUGCCGCGUGUAUGAAGAAGGCCUUCGGGUUGUAAAGUACUUUCAGCGGGGAGGAAGGGAGUAAAGUUAAUACCUUUGCUCAUUGACGUUACCCGCAGAAGAAGCACCGGCUAACUCCGUGCCAGCAGCCGCGGUAAUACGGAGGGUGCAAGCGUUAAUCGGAAUUACUGGGCGUAAAGCGCACGCAGGCGGUUUGUUAAGUCAGAUGUGAAAUCCCCGGGCUCAACCUGGGAACUGCAUCUGAUACUGGCAAGCUUGAGUCUCGUAGAGGGGGGUAGAAUUCCAGGUGUAGCGGUGAAAUGCGUAGAGAUCUGGAGGAAUACCGGUGGCGAAGGCGGCCCCCUGGACGAAGACUGACGCUCAGGUGCGAAAGCGUGGGGAGCAAACAGGAUUAGAUACCCUGGUAGUCCACGCCGUAAACGAUGUCGACUUGGAGGUUGUGCCCUUGAGGCGUGGCUUCCGGAGCUAACGCGUUAAGUCGACCGCCUGGGGAGUACGGCCGCAAGGUUAAAACUCAAAUGAAUUGACGGGGGCCCGCACAAGCGGUGGAGCAUGUGGUUUAAUUCGAUGCAACGCGAAGAACCUUACCUGGUCUUGACAUCCACGGAAGUUUUCAGAGAUGAGAAUGUGCCUUCGGGAACCGUGAGACAGGUGCUGCAUGGCUGUCGUCAGCUCGUGUUGUGAAAUGUUGGGUUAAGUCCCGCAACGAGCGCAACCCUUAUCCUUUGUUGCCAGCGGUCCGGCCGGGAACUCAAAGGAGACUGCCAGUGAUAAACUGGAGGAAGGUGGGGAUGACGUCAAGUCAUCAUGGCCCUUACGACCAGGGCUACACACGUGCUACAAUGGCGCAUACAAAGAGAAGCGACCUCGCGAGAGCAAGCGGACCUCAUAAAGUGCGUCGUAGUCCGGAUUGGAGUCUGCAACUCGACUCCAUGAAGUCGGAAUCGCUAGUAAUCGUGGAUCAGAAUGCCACGGUGAAUACGUUCCCGGGCCUUGUACACACCGCCCGUCACACCAUGGGAGUGGGUUGCAAAAGAAGUAGGUAGCUUAACCUUCGGGAGGGCGCUUACCACUUUGUGAUUCAUGACUGGGGUGAAGUCGUAACAAGGUAACCGUAGGGGAACCUGCGGUUGGAUCACCU